GAGAGAGAGUGUGAGAUUGCCACAACAGGUUUCCAUAGACUGCUGUAGAGAGAGAGUGUGAGAUUGCCACAACAGGUUUCCAUAGACUGCUGUAGAGAGAGAGAGUGAGAUUGCCACAACAGGUUUCCAUAGACUGCUGUAGAGAGAGAGAGUGAGAUUGCCACAACAGGUUUCCAUAGACUGCUGUAGAGAGAGAGAGAGAGGGAGACGGAGAGAUGAGAGAAUUGAAGAUCAGAUAAUGAAAGAACAGUGACCAGUGAAUGGAGAGAAGAGAGAGAAGAUAAAUAAUAACAGAAAAUAUGCAAAACAAGACUAAGACAAAAAACGACGAGAGAGAGAGAGAGAGGAGCCAGAGCACGUUGUUCGGAGUGUUCUGAGCAGACACUGUCUGGACCAUGUGCACAGAGGAAAGACUGGUGACAAGGAAAAGAGCUGCCACUGAGAGAGAGGAAGAAGAANNNNNNNNNNCUCCACAUAGGGGCAGUGUUUAACUGUUUCCCUCCCCAUAGGGGCAGUGUUGAACUGUUUCCCUCCCCAUAGGGGCAGUGUUGAACUGUUUCCCUCCACAUAGGGGCAUUGUUUAACUGUUUCCCUCCCCAUAGAGGCAGUGUUUAACUGUUUCCCUCCACAUAGGGGCAGUGUUUAACUGUUUCCCUCCACAUAGGGGCAGUGUUUAACUGUUUCCCUC
rnacentral:lncRNA from 13 species